CCAUGGGUCAGGGGCGGACGCCCAGCUCCACAGUCCACUGAGAGGCCGGGCAGUGGCGCCCAUGUGCCAGGUCAGGCCCCAGGGCAGGGUGUGGGGGAGAGUACCAGCUCCCCGCCCAGGACCCCGCCAGCUCCCCGUGCUCUCCGCCCCCCCUCAAGGCCUGGGCCACCUCUGGCACACCCACUGCUGCCCUGGGGUCUGCCCACUGCACCACCACCACGGAGACGGCCUCUCUGGAUUGCCCCCACUCUGUACCCUGACUCAGCCCCGGCAGGGGCACAGCAACGAGGGCCCGGUUUGCAGAGGGAGACAGAUCCUGUGAGUGGCCCACCUGGAAGCCGACCCCAUCUCUGGACCCGCCGAGUGGAGCAGUUGGCGUCCACUGUUUUCAUGGUGAUGGGAGACGACAGGUGGCUGGGGUGGGGGGGUGCAGGUCCUAGGAGAGCAGCGGUGGGCACAGCCCUCCACGGGAGAAAGGCGGUCCUCAUGCGUGUGCGUUAGGUCGCCCUGAGCAUAAUUUAGUCCCUCCUUGAUAACUGGCGUGGAAGGAGGGAGACCAGAGAGCUGCCUUAAAUGCUGCGGAUGCUGCUGUCCUGGAAAAGAGAUGAGGCGCUUCCACUGCUCCAGAGAGGACGGCUGUGGGCACUCACUCUGAGCCUCACCUCCCUCUGGGGUCCACCCAGGGCUCCCAAGAUGCCACCAUCUCUCACCAACUUUGCCAAGGCCCCCAGCAACUCCCAGGGGGAGAGCCCUGCAGACUUAUAUUGAAGUGCAGAUGCCCCAGCCUGCCCUGUCGCUAGUCCCUUCCUCUGGAAGCCUCCCGGUCAGGCAGGCUCCCCAUUAUUUGCUCUUCGAGCAUCAGGGACCUGUCCUUACUAGUAACCCCUUGGGAGAGGCAUUCUUACGUGUGUGUUUACACAUGCAUGCGUGCCCACUUAGACCGGAAGCUUCCUGAAGGCAGGGGCCCUGCUUGUCUCUUUGCACCAGCUUGCCACACUCCUGGCAUGAGCUGGGCUGCAGGUCACCCAGGAGCCCUGGGCCCUCCUCUGGUCCAGACAGAGGGAGCCCUGGCUUUGCCAGCACCCCAGCGCUCACAGCCCCUUAGGGGUAGGGUCUUUCUGGCCAGGCUUGGUCCCCUGCCCUGGCUCUCCCCGCAGAGUCCUGCCACCUGAAGCUGCUGUGUGGAAACAGGACACAGCCCACUCCACCCACAGGACCCAAAAAACCUCACUUCCUCCAAAUCCACUUCCUGCCCAGGAACCAUAGUCCCAGAGGGAGAUCUGCCAGGGCAAGUUCCCUUUAAGUUAAAAAACAUUUCUCCUCACAGCCCCACUUCCACCUCUCCCAAGCUAGACAGUGUCCCCAAGUCCCCGCCUGGCUGCGAGUGCAGGUCUGCAUGGGAUGCUGGUGUGAGGGGCCCCUCCUGGGGCUAUGAGAGGGGACAGGUAGGGCUGGAGCCUAGCAUGCAAGCUCUCUCAGGUGUGGUGGCUCCGUGGAUGACCUGCCUUGGCUGGAGAGGCAAGUAGGUCACAAAUUCCCCCACUGUGUCUCAGGGUCAGAGACUUAUCUGAUGCUAAAGUGGUUCUGAGUUCUGAUCCUGUUCAGUGGACAUGACAGGGGCUAGGCACAGUGUUGGCCACUAGAUGGUGCGUCCCUUCCCCUCCUGCACCUAGGUGCUGUGCACACUGUUGGCCGUUGGAUGGCGACAUAGCCCCUUCCCAACCUGCACUUGGGUGCUGUGCACUCUGUUGACCACUGGGUGACGACAUAGCCCCAUCCCCUCCUGAACUUGGAUGCUGUGCACACUGUUGGCCACUGGAUUGCAGUGUAGCCCCUUCCCUCCCUGGCCUUGGGUGCUGUGCCCACUGUUGGCCACUGGAGGACGACGUAGCCCCUUCCCCUCCUGCACUAGGGUGCUGUACACACUGUUGGCCACUGGAUGGCGACAUAGCCCCUUUCCUGCCUGUGCUUGGGUGCUGUGCACACUUUUGACCACUGGAUGGCGUUGUAGUCUUUUCCCCCUCUGCACUCGGGUGCUGUGCAUCCCUUUGGCCACUGGAUGGCGAUGUAGUCCCCUCCCUCCCUGCACUUGUGUGCUGUGCACACUGUUUGCCACUGGAUGGCGAUGUUAGCCCCUUCCCCUCCUGCACGUGGGGGCUGUUCACACUGUUGGCCACAAGAUGGCGAUGUAACCCUUUCCCUACCUGAAUGUGGGUGCUGUACACACUGUCGGCCACUGAAUGGUGAUGUAGCCCCUUUCCCCUCCUGCACCAGGGUGCUUGCACACUGUUGGCCACUGAGAAACAUAGCCCCUCCUGCAUGUGGGUGCUGUGCACACUAUAAGCCACUCGAUAAGGACUUAGUCCCACCACUCGUGCACUUGGGUGCUGUGCACACUUUUGGCCACUGGAUGACAUGGUAACCUUUUCUCCUCCUGCACUUGGGGGCUGUGCACAUCUUUGGCCACUGGAUGGCGACCUAGCCUUUUCCCUCCUUCACGUGGGUGCUGUGCACACUUUUGGACCCUUGAUAGCAAUGUAUCCCCUUCCUUCCUGCGUGCUGGUGCGGUGCACACUGUUGUCCACUCAAUGGUGACUUAGCCUCUCCCUUCCUGUGUUUGGGUGCUGUGCUUGCUGUUGGUCACUGGAGGGCGACAUAGCCCUUUCCCUCCUGCACUUAGGUGUUUUGCACACUGUUGGCCACUGGAUGGCGACCUAGCCCCUUCCCUUCCUCCUCUUGGGUGCUGUGCACCCUUUUGGCCACUGGAUGGCGACGUAGCCCCUUCACUACCUGAACGUGGGAGCUGGGCAUAUGGCUGGCCACAGGACGGUGUCAUUACCUUUUUCUCCUCCUGCACUUGGGUGCUGUGCACACUGUUGCACACUGGUGGCCACUGGAUGGCGACAUAGCCCCUUCACUAUCUGAACGUGGGUGCUGUGCACACUGUUGGCACCCCCACCUGGACCCCUCGGAGCGUCUCCAUGCAGGCUGACUCAAGACAUAGUUUUCUGCUUCAGGCACUGAGCCCAGAUCACAAACCCCACUAAACGUAGAAGCCACGGCUUCAAAAUUCAGAUAUUUGGUGACCACCAUAGCAAUUUUUAUAUCACUGCCAUAAAUACUCCAUAUCUCUUAUCAAUAAAUAGACGUUAAGAGUGAAAAUAUCCAUUAAUAAGAAAGCAGGAUUACUCAGCUCUCAUUAGAUGUGGCUGCCUUCUGCGAUGCACGUUAAAGACAGACCGUGGCCCAGACAGACUUACACAUGAAAGUCCCCAGAACAUCUUUGAAAGAAUGAGACUCAGAGGAUUCAGUGAGAUGCUGGCUUUGUCCAGGAGCCAAAAGAUCAAGCUUGUGUUUCACACUCUCGGAAACCUCUGACGGAGCCCGUCUGAAGACACACACAGUGAACUUGUCCCCUCAGAAUGACCGACAGCAGUUCCUUGAGACGUGCCAUGGAGGGCCCAGCGACGAGUACAGGGGCCAGAAGGAAAACGCUGAGAACCCAGGGGCCCAGCUGGAGAGGCUGCCCUCAGGGCCAGGAGCUGGGCAGCCCCCAGUCCCACCUGGCUUAGCACCCUGCACCUACCAAGCCCUGCAAACAUUUUAGUAAACUUGAGAUUAAAAAUCUGCAGCCAGGUCAGCACAUCCCCUCCCUGCAUGGAUGCUGGUGUCCGCGGCCCUGCUGGGACUGUGAGACAGUUGACAGGGCCAGCGUGCUGCCUGUCGCAAGCAAGAUGCCCUCAGACGUGGGGGCUUUGUGGCCACAGCAGAAGCAGCCUCCCCACCUAAAACUCUAACCUCAUGCAGCUUGUCGUCGGGGUGACUCAGCGCCCUCCCUGGGGGGGUGCGACCACGGAGACAGACUGGCUUGUUGAAACAAGCCCCGGACCUCCCAAAACCCUUGGUGCCAAUUUCUGCAGUUCUCAAAACAG
rnacentral:lncRNA from 1 species